GUGCGAGUGGCGCGUCCCGCCGGCGGAAGCCGCUGGUGGUCACGGCCUCGGCCGCCCGAGCUCUCCCAGGGCCGGAGGGCCAGCCGCCUGCGUCCGCGCUGUGCUUGUUCCCCCCGACAGGGCCUCCCCGCUCCCCUCGCCGCGGGCCUCCGCGGCGCCCGGACGCUCUCAGCCUCCCCGUCCGACUUCCCCCUGCCCAGCCCUCGGUCCCUGAGCUGUGGCCCCGCUGCGGCCCGGCACCAUGGGCAGCGAGCAGAGCUCCGAGGCCGAGAGCCGACCCAACGAUCUGAACUCCUCAGUGGCUCCUUCUCCGGCCAAGCACAGAGCCAAGAUGGACGAUAUUGUGGUCGUAGCCCAGGGCUCUCAGGCCUCGCGUAACGUCAGCAACGACCCUGAUGUCAUCAAGCUCCAAGAGAUUCCGACCUUCCAGCCCCUUUUGAAAGGGCUUUUGAGCGGCCAGACUUCCCCAACAAAUACCAAGUUGGAGAAACUAGAUUCUCAGCAGGUGCUGCAGCUCUGCCUCCGGUACCAGGACCACCUGCACCAGUGUGCAGAGGCCGUGGCUUUCGAUCAGAAUGCGUUGGUGAAACGAAUCAAAGAGAUGGAUCUGUCUGUAGAAACCCUCUUUAGUUUCAUGCAGGAACGUCAGAAGAGAUACGCCAAGUACGCGGAGCAGAUCCAGAAAGUCAAUGAGAUGUCCGCCAUCCUCCGCCGCAUCCAGAUGGGCAUCGACCAGACGGUGCCGCUGAUGGAGCGGCUCAACAGCCUGCUGCCCGAGGCCGAGCGCCUGGAACCCUUCAGCGUGAAGCCGGGCCACAAGCCCCAGCUCUAGGGCCUGCGCCGCCAGCUGGAGGCCAGCACAUCGAGGGCAGUGGAGGCAGAGGCCCAGGACUGCCCAGGGCCAAGGCCGCCUGGAGCUCGGCCCUGCUCCCGCCCAGCACCUCAGCCCUGCGCAACACACGGACGGUUCUUGGGGACAACUCAAGUUGCAGCAUUUGGAUUAUUGGGAGUUCUGUCAAGAACUAUUUGUUGAGAAUUAUUUUUUUAUUUUGCUUAGAUUUUUAGUUGGGAGUAUUUAUGAGCUGAUUUAACUAUUAGGGUGAAAAUAUGGAGAGAGGGGGAACGGGCUCAGAGAGGCUGUGCCCAGACCCGCUCCUGACGUACACUCGGGAGGCACUGGGCGUGGGCUGCUGACAUAAAGAGCUGGUUGCGUCACACCCUAAGAGCUGUGCCCGUGCUGUUCUGUCACACCCACUCUGUCCCAGCACCCUCUUGCUGCCCCACGAACACUGGCUCUGUGUAGUGUGGCAGUCACAGUGUCCCCUGUGCAUCGUCGCCGCAGCUCCGGCGUUGCGCUCAUGUCCCACGACACUCAGUGGGUUUCCUCAGACUGGGUGUCACCGUGUCACCCCAGUGCAGGCAAGGCUCUGACCUCCUGCUAGGUGUGAGGCCACCUUUGUUCCCAGGCCUGCGGGACACAGGGGCUGUUGCGGGCGGCAUGGCUCACUGCACGGCAGACGCUGGCCCAUUUGGGUCUUCCUUUUAAAUGAAAAGUAAAUCAUUUUUCUUUAAAUAGACAACUUUUUAAUCAGUGCAACCCAACAAAGGCUAAAAAAUGGGCCUCCCUCCUGGCUCCCUGCUUCCUGUCCCUCUGCUAGGAAAGGGGCGCACUCCUUCAGAGCGCCUCUUCCCUGGGCGGGGUAGCCGUGCUGCCUCCCUACUGGGGAGGUGGAGGCCCCACUCAGAGCGCUCCAGGAAGGCAUGCACCUGCCUGGCUCUGGGUCACAGCUGGGUGCCAUGCAUUCCAGGAACCUAGAGAGGUCGAGGAUGGCAAGGGCUCCGAGGUGCCACCACUUCCUGUCAGAGCAGAUGAAGGAAAUAAAGCACUCAUUGUAUUGUUCUUCACCUUUCCUGCCAGCUUAAAAUAUAUAUGUAUGUACUUACAUUUUUAUUUGGAAGGUCUCUGAGGAUCUAUAGAGUUGGAAGAGUUGCUGGCAGAGCCAUCCUGACUGCACUGCGAAUGGCUGACAGCACACCAGCUGGAAUGCCACCGAGCCGUGUAGCCGCUGAUGCUGCAUGUGGCUGACCCUGCUCCCAGAGCGCCUGGCGCCGUCAGCUUCCGUGUGUCAGGGGACUUAUAAAAGAGGCUGGUAGUGUCACAGUCAGAUUAUGGGAACCAUUGCCUCCGAGGUUACGUGAACCACUGCUCUGGGGGCUGACGUGUCAUUUGUGUGGGGGAUGUCCCUGGCCCUGGCUGUGCCCCUGGCACAUCCGGAGCAGAGCAGCGCCAGGCAAACGGGCAUUCAAAGCUUCGUGUUUCUGUCUGAUACUGCACUUCAGCUAAGCCCAGGUAAAUGGAUCCCCACAGGAAAUGACGCAGAUUGAAGGAGUGUGACUCUGUGCUAUUGAGAUAGAAUUUUACGACUCCUCAACCCCAUCCUCAUCCUUGGGUGGAGGACCCUGGAGUGCCCUGGAGGGGUCGUCGUUCACUCACUCACCAGAAACCACGCUGAAUUCCUGGGGGUUCUGAUGGUGCAGGCUGGCACCUUCUGCUCCCAGCUCACAUGCGGACGCAGAGGGCAGUCUGAUCAUGCUGUUAUUGGCAUGCAUCACACUGAAACUCUCCAAGAAGUCAGCCGUGGGAGCAGCCAGCUCUGGGCGCUCCCCACCAGUCCCGGGCACCUUGGGCUGAUGCUGACCUGCCCCUGGCCCCUUGCCCUGGCCCCUG